rnacentral:rRNA from 2 species
GAGUGAGUGGCGAACUUGGUGAGUAACACGUGGGAAACCUGCCCAGAAGCGGGGGAUAACACCUGGAAACAGAUGCUAAUACCGCAUAACAACUUGGACCGCAUGGUCCGAGUUUGAAAGAUGGCUUCGGCUAUCACUUUUUGGAUGGUCCCGCGGCGUAUUAGCUAGAUGGUGGGGUAACGGCUCACCAUGGCAAUGAUACGUAGCCGACCUGAGAGGGUAAUCGGCCACAUUGGGACUGAGACACGGCCCAAACUCCUACGGGAGGCAGCAGUAGGGAAUCUUCCACAAUGGACGAAAGUCUGAUGGAGCAACGCCGCGUGAGUGAAGAAGGGUUUCGGCUCGUAAAACUCUGUUGUUAAAGAAGAACAUAUCUGAGAGUAACUGUUCAGGUAUUGACGGUAUUUAACCAGAAAGCCACGGCUAACUACGUGCCAGCAGCCGCGGUAAUACGUAGGUGGCAAGCGUUGUCCGGAUUUAUUGGGCGUAAAGCGAGCGCAGGCGGUUUUUUAAGUCUGAUGUGAAAGCCUUCGGCUCAACCGAAGAAGUGCAUCGGAAACUGGGAAACUUGAGUGCAGAAGAGGACAGUGGAACUCCAUGUGUAGCGGUGAAAUGCGUAGAUAUAUGGAAGAACACCAGUGGCGAAAGCGGCUGUCUGGUCUGUAACUGACGCUGAGGCUCGAAAGUAUGGGUAGCAACAGGAUUAGAUACCCUGGUAGUCCAUACCGUAACGAUGAUGCUAGUGUUGAGGGUUUCGGCCCUCAGUGCUGCAGCUACGCAUAGCAU